rnacentral:rRNA from 1 species
GACGAACGCUGGCGGCGUGCUUAACACAUGCGAGUCGUACGGUAAGGCCCUUUCGGGGGUACACGAGUGGCGAACGGGUGAGUAACACGUGAGUAACCUGCCCACAACUUUGGGAUAACGCUAGGAAACUGGUGCUAAUACUGGAUAUGUGCUCCUGCUGCAUGGUGGGGGUUGGAAAGCUCCGGCGGUUGUGGAUGGACUCGCGGCCUAUCAGCUUGUUGGUGGGGUAGUGGCCUACCAAGGCGGCGACGGGUAGCCGGCCUGAGAGGGUGACCGGCCACAUUGGGACUGAGAUACGGCCCAGACUCCUACGGGAGGCAGCAGUGGGGAAUAUUGCACAAUGGGCGCAAGCCUGAUGCAGCAACGCCGCGUGCGGGAUGACGGCCUUCGGGUUGUAAACCGCUUUCAGCAGGGACGAAGCUUUUUGUGACGGUACCUUCAGAAGAAGCACCGGCUAACUACGUG